rnacentral:rRNA from 1 species
CCCUUAGAUGUUCUGGGCUGCACGCGCGCUACACUGAUGCACUCAACGAGUUUACGACCUUGCCCGAUAGGGUUGGGUAAUCUUUUUAAAAUGCAUCGUGAUGGGGAUAGAUUAUUGCAAUUAUUAAUCUUCACCGAGGAAUUCCUAGUAAGCGCGAGUCAUCAGCUCGUGCUGAUUACGUCCCUGCCCUUUGUACACACCGCCCGUCGCUCCUACCGAUUGAGUGCUCAGGUGAAUAAUUCGGACUGCAGCAAUGUUUGGAUCCCGAACGUUGCAGCGGAAAGUUUAGUGAACCUUAUCACUUAGAGGAAGGAGAAGUCGUAACA